CCCAGUUCCCAUAAGAUCACCGAAGUAAAGCAACAUCGAGUCUGGUCAGUACUUAGAUGGGUAAACGCUUGAGAAUACCAUCUGCUGUAA